AGACUUAUGAAGAUGAGACGCUAGUUUUGUUGGAGUCGUCCUUGAAAUACCACCCUUGUAGUUUUGAUGUUCUAACGUUGGCCCCUGAAUCGGGGUUACGGACAGUGCCUGGUGGGUAGUUUGACUGGGGCGGUCUCCUCCCAAAGAGUAACGGAGGAGCACGAAGGUUGGCUAAGUACGGUCGGACAUCGUACGGUUAGUGUAAUGGUAGAAGCCAGCUUAACUGCGAGACAGACACGUCGAGCAGGUACGAAAGUAGGUCAUAGUGAGCCGGUGGUUCAGAAUGGAAGGGCCAUCGCUCAACGGAUAAAAUGUACACCGGGGAGAACCGGCUGCUACCGACGAAGCGUUCAAAUCGAAUGCGCAGUU
rnacentral:rRNA from 1 species